CGGCGUGCCUAACACAUGCAAGUCGAACGAGAAAGUUGGCUUCGGCCGAUGAGUAAAGUGGCGCACGGGUGAGUAACGCGUGGAUAAUCUGCCCUUUAGUUUGGAAUAACGUACCGAAAGGUGCGCUAAUACCGGAUAAUACUGAAUGACUACUGUCGUUUAGUCAAAGAAGGCUUCUGUUUACAUGCUUUUGCUGAAGGAUGAGUCCGCGUAUCAUUAGCUAGUUGGUAGGGUAAUGGCCUACCAAGGCGACGAUGGUUAGCUGGUCUGAGAGGAUGAUCAGCCACACUGGAACUGAGACACGGUCCAGACUCCUACGGGAGGCAGCAGUGAGGAAUAUUGCGCAAUGGAGGCAACCCUGACGCAGCAACGCCGCGUGAGUGAGGAAGGUUUUCGGACCGUAAAGCUCUGUCGAGCGGGAAGAAAUGCAUGGUGGCUAAUAUCCAUCAUGCUUGACGGUACCGCUAAAGGAAGCACCGGCUAACUCCGUG
rnacentral:rRNA from 1 species